AGGUCAUGUGGAGGACAAUUCCUUAGUAAUCCUUUGUGGCGCUCCCAUGCUUUGUAUAGUUACUCACCUGGUUGUUUCUCAAAAUUGGCUAUUGCCUUCUUGACUUU